CUAAGCUGAGGCAUUUGGGGACUCGUUAGCACUCCUGCACUGCUGAACCAUUGGUGGUCGGAGGUGCUGCCAAGCCCGAGGCCCAGUAGUGUCUGCUCUCUGCUCAGAAUAGAAGGAGGAUGCGCUGACUCUGUGGAAUCAGAUAAAUUUGAGUUAAAAUCUCAGCUCUCCACAUAGAAUCUGUGUGACCUUUGGAAAUUCUACCUCCUUGAUGUAUAAAAUGGAAAAGAAUAACUGACGCACAACUCAGACCUGAUACUGGACCAGUUCCAGACUUAAGCUUAAGAAGUCUUGGCAAUUUUUUGCUUUUGCACUUUUGAAGAGUCCUGAACUGCCAUAUAAGAAGUCUGGCUACUCUGCUGGAGAGAUCACCUGGAGAAGUGACUUAGGCCAUGCAGAAAUGGAGAGACCCUGAGAUUACAUGGAGGAAGAGGCCCCGUCACCCUAGCAGCUUGUCUGAGCCCCGCCUUCCAACCGUCCUCACUAAGGCACCGGCAUGUGAACGUGCCAUCUUGGAUGUUCCAGCCUAGUGGAACCCCCAAAUGACUGAAGCUCCAUCUGACAUCACAUUGGAGCAGAACUGCCCAGCUGAGGCCAAUCAAUCCACAGUAUCAUGACAGAUAACACAAUGAAGUCACUGAAUUUUGGAGUGGUUUAUUACGCAGCCAUAAAUAACUGAAAGGAAUAUUUUUGUUUUGUUUUCCCUAAAUCUUCUAAUCCCACAGGUGUUUGUGGGCUUUGCUGUUCUUAGAGCUCUUCAGGGAAGAA